rnacentral:misc_RNA from 1 species
GCCUUGUUGCAUCCUCCGCACGGAGACUGUGAAAUGUCGUACUUGCCUCAGAGGUAGCACUACCAUGCUCCUGCACCUGGGAAUCGGAAUGUGCAUGAGGCAGCGCCUUGUGACACAUGUAGCAAUCUUCCAAUCGAUACCCCUGGCCCUGCAUUGGCGGUGGUACCGCUUGACGCACACCAUAGAGUUCAACAUUCUGUGGUUGCAGGUAAGUCGGGGGCACUGGUAGGAGUUGUGACACAAGCUGAUUACCGGCCCUAGAGUUAGG